CCCCUCACCCAUCUUUCUCACACUGCCUGCCGUCAUGUGAUACUGGGCAUCCUGCCGGUUCUCACACACACACACACACACGCACACACAAACACACAACCCACUGCUGAGAAACUCUCCUCAUGCUGAGAGGACUGUAGUGGUACUGUUUACUGUUUACUGUACUUACAGUAGUGCUAUUUGUAGUAGUACUAACACUAGUAGUAUUAGUAACAGCGAUGAAGAGGUCCUCAUCACACACGUGUUGUACAGUGUGUAUACACACUGCGUGUAUAGUAUGUACACAACAUGUAUUACUAGUGUACCUCUGUAACCUUACAGAUUAUUUGACGUCUCAUUGAGAUUCCAGUUCUUUGGCGGCAGCAUGUUGGGACACGAUAUGUCUCUUGAUACAAAAGACGCCACACAGAGACAGUAAGCAUCGUGCAUGUCCCCUCUAGGGUUUGUUAGAGACAUGUGACGGUUUUCACUGGAGGCUCCUUUUUGUCCCUUUUUGUCCCUUCCUGCAGGUCAGAUUUCACUUUAAACUGAUCUGAAACCAGCAAGACGGGUUCUGGAUCCCGAGGAACCUGCAGGGACGAGAGGACAAACAGAGACAAAAGACAGAAAGAGAUGCAGACCACCUUAGGCUACAUUAGUAACUGGAGGACUGUGAGAGACAGCCAGGAUGUGAGUGGACAGAGAGAGACAGACAGGCUGUGAGUGGACAGAGAGAGACAGACAGGCUGCGAGAGGACAGAGAGAGACAGACAGCCUGUGAGUGGACAGAGAGAGACAGACAGGCUGUGAGUGGACAGAGAGAGACAGACAGCCUGUGAGUGGACAGAGAGAGACAGACAGUUUAUGAGGACAGAGAGAGACAGACAGUUUGUGAGGACAGAGAGAGACAGACAGGCUGUGAGUGGACAGAUAGAGACAGACAGGAUGUGAGUGGACAGAGAGAGAUAGACAGGCUGUGAGGACAGAGAGAGACAGACAGGCAGUGAGUAGACAGAGAGAGACAGACAGGCUGUGAGGACAGAGAGAGACAGACAGUUUGUGAGGACAGAGAGAGACAGACAGUUUGUGAGGACAGAGAGAGACAGACAGGCUGUGAGUGGACAGAUAGAGACAGACAGGAUGUGAGUGGACAGAGAGAGAUAGACAGGCUGUGAGGACAGAGAGAGACAGACAGGCAGUGAGUAGACAGAGAGAGACAGACAGGCUGUGAGGACAGAGAGAGACAGACAGUUUGUGAGGACAGAGAGAGACAGACAGUUUGUGAGGACAGAGAGACAUAGUUAUACGACUCAAACAAAAGUCAACACUGUUAAUAAAUCUAAUAUGUUCAUUUGUUCCGUGUAAAUAUAUAUAAACAUACAAUGUUUGUGUAUUUUGUUCUUAAAUUUAAUUCUUUGUUUUGUGUUUUCAGCUUUACGAUUCUUUAAUUACAUGUUUCAAAAGCUCCACAAACAAGAAGACUUUAUGGUGUUUAGUGUUUCCAGUCUUCAUUUCAUCUUCAGGUCACUCUCCUAAAAAACUUAAAGCCUUUAACACAAACACACACACACACACAGACACACACACACACAGACACACACACACAGACACACACACACACAGACACACACACAGAUAUCACAUAUAACAUAUUUUGUUUUUGCAAAAAGCUCACUGACUUGUUACAAGAGGAGUGGAGUUGUAGUAUUUGCAGCAGUAUUACUACUGGUAGUACGUAUAGUGUCAGAGGUAAAUGAUAAGUUUAACAGGUCAGAGGUCAAAGAGGUCAAUAUAUGAACCAAUGACGUCAUGCUGCAGAAGAAGGAGCCUCGGGACUCGUACAACUCCUGCGUCCUUGUGUUUGUUAUUUCAGAAGCUUAAGGCUUAAAAAAAUACCUAAAAAACAAAUUGUGUGCUUCAUGAACUCUGCAUUAAAAUUCACUGUUUCCAGAAGGAAGGUUUUCGGUUGGUUGAAGGCUUUGUAGCCCACGAGAGACGCCGAUGCGUAUCGGCGGUUUAUUCUCCGGCUCCUUUCCCUCUGUUUGUGCGUUUACAGCCCGUUUGUCUGCGUCGCCUGAAGAGCCGUCAGCUCGCGUCUCCGGAGGAGAAAAGGCUCUGACGUGGUUCUCCGUGACUCGCCUCGUUUGUCUCCCGCAGAACAAACAGAAAAUAUGCGAGACGUCGGUUUCGCUCAACGUCUUCAAACACGGAGGAGAUGUGAGGGGUGAACUCUCCUUUCAGCCCGCUGACGUGCAUCCAAACUCCGGCAUGCAAAUGUCCUCCUUUGGUGUGCGCGGCCUGCAGGGAGGCAAACAGCUCCCUGUGAGGGCAAGUUCAGUAUUUGCAUUCAAGUAAAAGCACAUGAUUCUGUGUUGAACAACACUUGCGCGUGUUGUUCAACACGAGAAGUCGUUUUCUCAUAGACGUCCAUGGGACCAGAGGAGUCGCCCCCUGCUGGUCGCUGCACAGAAUGCAGCUCUCACUUCACUUUUUCCUGGGAACGAAAACGCUGAGUCGGCGA
ensembl:lncRNA